rnacentral:rRNA from 1 species
GACGAACGCUGGCGGCGUGCUUAACACAUGCAAGUCGAACGAUGAAGCUGGAGCUUGCUCCGGUGGAUUAGUGGCGAACGGGUGAGUAACACGUGAGCAAUCUGCCCUUGACUCUGGGAUAACUGCGGGAAACUGUAGCUAAUACCGGAUACGAGACCUGAAGGCAUCUUCGGGUCUGGAAAGAAUUUCGGUCAAGGAUGAGCUCGCGGCCUAUCAGCUUGUUGGUGAGGUAAUGGCACACCAAGGCGACGACGGGUAGCCGGCCUGAGAGGGUGACCGGCCACACUGGGACUGAGACACGGCCCAGACUCCUACGGGAGGCAGCAGUGGGCAAUAUUGCACAAUGGGCGAAAGCCUGAUGCAGCAACGCCGCGUGAGGGAUGAAGGCCUUCGGGUUGUAAACCUCUUUUAGCAGGGAAGAAGCGAAAGUGACGGUACCUAACCAGAAAGCCACGGCUAACUACGUGCCAGCCGCCGCGGUAA